UGGGGAAUAUUGCACAAUGGGCGAAAGCCUGAUGCAGCAACACCGCGUGAGGGACGACGGCCUUCGGGUUGUAACCUCUUUUAGCAAGGAAGAAGCGAAAGUGACGGUACUUGCAGAAAAAAGCGCCGGCUAACUACGUGCCAGCAGCCGCGGUAAUACGUAGGGCGCAAGCGUUAUCCGGAAUUAUUGGGCGUAAAGAGCUCGUAGGCGGUUUGUCGCUCUGCUGUGAAAACCCGAGGCUCAACCUCGGGCUGCAGUGGGUACGGGCAGACUAGAGUGCGGUAGGGGAGAUUGGAACUCCUGGUGUAGCGGUGGAAUGCGCAGAUAUCAGGAAGAACACCGAUGGCGAAGGCAGAUCUNUGGGCCCGUAACUGACGCUGAGGAGCG
rnacentral:rRNA from 1 species